AGCAGCCGCGGUAAUUCCAGCUCCAAUAGCGUAUAUUAAAGUUGUUGCAGUUAAAAAGCUCGUAGUUGAAUUUCGGGAUCAGUGCGCUGGUCGUGCCUUCGGUAUGUACUGGUGUUACUGGUUUCUACCUUCUGAAGAACCGUCAUGUCAUUAGUUUGGUGUGGCGGGGAAUCAGGACUGUUACUUUGAAAAGAUUAGAGUGUUUAAAGCAGGCUCGCGCUUGAAUACAUUAGCAUGGAAUAAUGAAAUAGGACGUUUGAUCCUAUUUUGUUGGUUUCUAGGAUUGACGUAAUGAUUAAUAGGGAUAGUUGGGGGCAUUAGUAUUCAAUUGUCAGAGGUGAAAUUCUUGGAUUUAUUGAAGACUAACUACUGCGAAAGCAUUUGCCAAGGAUGUUUUCAUUAAUCAAGAACGAAAGUUAGGGGAUCGAAGACGAUCAGAUACCGUCGUAGUCUUAACCAUAAACUAUGCCGACUAGGGAUCGGAUGAUGUUAAUUUUUAAUGUACUCUAUUCGGACCG
rnacentral:rRNA from 1 species